rnacentral:sRNA from 1 species
AAAGCCGACGCGAGUCUGGAGGCUGCUGCUCGCGACUUCGGCGGCCGGGCGAGGCCGGUGAGGACGCGGCGGGCGAGCGAGAGGCCGAGGUGUUUUCUUCACUCAUGGUGAAGAAUGGGGGAGAUAGAAGGAACAUACAGAGUCCUGCAGACUGCAGGGACGCGCUUGGGUGCCCAGACCCCUGUGGGAGUUAGCACCCUUGAGCCUGGGCAGGCUCUCUUGCCCAGAAUGCAAGAGAAGCACCUGCACCUCAGAGUAAAGCUGCUGGACCACACCUUGGAAAUAUUUGACAUUGAGGUUUGAAAAAUAACAGGUCAACCUCUUCCCAGAUUUCUUGACAUCCUUGGAAACCAUGCAUUUACGCCAUUGCAGAGCAGCUCAAGAAUGGCCCAGAACCCUAUGGUCACCUGGCUGGUUUGCAGAGCCUUUCUUUGUGGCCUGCAUUGCACCUCACACACUGCCUGCUACUUCUGGUCAUGUUGAAUUGCCCACCUUUUAAUAACUUAUGUCAGGUUGGACUUCAGUAUUUAUGGUCAUAACGGAAAUGUUUCUUCCAGUUAUGAAGUGAUUUGUUUUUUCAUUAAUAGACAUCUGAGUGCCUACUAUGUGGGGGGAAAAAGGGCUCUCCUGACAGUUGUUUUUUUGUUGUUGUUUGUUUGUUUGUUUACCAAUAAUUUGAGUUGAAGUAUCGGGAACUACCUGGGAUUCUGUCCUCAGGGAUAAUUCUUUCUGUUGAAAGUCUCCAAGAGUAUGGUGAUCUAAUUAUUGAUCACAGUUCAUAAUAUGGUUUCUGCCCUCCUGAAACAUACGGCCUACAAAUUAUCUUUUU